ACAGUCGAGCGGAGAUGAGGUGCUUGCACCUUAUCUUAGCGGCGGACGGGUGAGUAAUGCUUAGGAAUCUGCCUAUUAGUGGGGGACAACAUUCCGAAAGGAAUGCUAAUACCGCAUACGCCCUACGGGGGAAAGCAGGGGAUCUUCGGACCUUGCGCUAAUAGAUGAGCCUAAGUCGGAUUAGCUAGUUGGUGGGGUAAAGGCCUACCAAGGCGACGAUCUGUAGCGGGUCUGAGAGGAUGAUCCGCCACACUGGGACUGAGACACGGCCCAGACUCCUACGGGAGGCAGCAGUGGGGAAUAUUGGACAAUGGGCGGAAGCCUGAUCCAGCCAUGCCGCGUGUGUGAAGAAGGCCUUUUGGUUGUAAAGCACUUUAAGCGAGGAGGAGGCUACUUAGAUUAAUACUCUAGGAUAGUGGACGUUACUCGCAGAAUAAGCACCGGCUAACUCUGUGCCAGCAGCCGCGGUAAUACAGAGGGUGCGAGCGUUAAUCGGAUUUACUGGGCGUAAAGCGUGCGUAGGCGGCUGAUUAAGUCGGAUGUGAAAUCCCUGAGCUUAACUUAGGAAUUGCAUUCGAUACUGGUCAGCUAGAGUAUGGGAGAGGAUGGUAGAAUUCCAGGUGUAGCGGUGAAAUGCGUAGAGAUCUGGAGGAAUACCGAUGGCGAAGGCAGCCAUCUGGCCUAAUACUGACGCUGAAG
rnacentral:rRNA from 1 species